AAAGGUAUUUCAAUGUGAGCAGGACUGUGACACUUCUGGAUGGGCCAGGUUGUGAAGUCUGGCCCAUUUCUCUUAGGAACUGAGCAGUGUGAAGCCAUCCCUGUUCUACUUUAUGCCCUUGAGCUGUAACAUAUAAUCUGCCUAAUGAGAGAUUCCCGUGAGACAAAAGGGUGGGGACAUAUGCCGUGGAGCCUGUCAGUACAUACAGCACUAUCCUAAAGGACAAAUGUCCUGCCUAUGGUUGCUCUUGCAUGGACUUCCUUCUGACUUGUGUUGAAAGCCAGCAGUGUGUUUUACUCAAUAGCAUCUGUCAGCAAUCUUUGGGUGAGGAAAUCUCCACUCAGCAGAUACAGCCUGCAGCUGCUCCUGCACUGCUUGCCUCUGAGCUAAUCAGAUCCAGCUUAUUUGUGGAGGCUGUGAGCUGUUCUCCCAAAACAAAACCGUCCACAAAGCUGUGACUAGGGCAGUUAUUGACCCAUUUUGACAUGCUGGCCCUUGAAAAGCACUGAGCUGGGAAGCAGAAAGUUGAGCUGGAAGCACAAACAGCUUAUACAAUAGCAAAGCUGCUCCACUACAAAUGAGUCUGUCUGCAGUGGCAGCAUCCCCGCCAGACUAGUGCAAUUGCUUUUUGGUCCUAAUGAAUGCAGAGGUCCUGGCUCUCUGGGAUGCCACUGACUUCAGCAGGGAACUGGUGUGGAGAUCUUUUAAGUUGAUGUCAUUAAGCCUUUAUAGUGGAAGUGAAGUGUGUGAGAUGUGAGGGAAGAAGCAACUGAAAAUAUAGGGGGACAGAGGAGUGAGGGGAACCUCUUCAGUUCCAUACCACAGCAGCUUCACCUGCAGUUCACUGAGGAGAGACAAACACGUGGAAACAGCAGCAGAAGAUGCAUUUUAACUGACCUCUGAAAAGCUCAGAGACUGCUUGGAAGUCAAAGGCACAAGCACAGGGUAAGUGGUCAAGUGUUGGAAACAACUCCCCAGUCUGGGUCUUUGCUUUUCCCUGGGCUCCCUGCAUGAGCUUGGUGGUCCCAGGGGAGGAGAGCCUGUCUAUGUGACAGCUAGUGCCUACAAAUGAAUACACAGCUGUUUUCAAAAAAUCCCAUGGAUCUCCUCCUUCCCCCCAAGGGCAAUAAAUCUUCAACUGUCUUGGACAUAAAAUGUUACCACUUUGUACCUCACAGAGAUGCUGUGGUGGU